GAAGCCGGAAGUGGGCUUGGAGCGGACAAAAAACAGAUUUACGGAAGGCAAGAGAAUCUUUACAAAAUGAAGUCAAGAUCCACUGCAAGAAAAAUUAUGCUGGGAUUCUGGUCAGAGUAAUUCCCAGAUGGCCAAGGAACUGGGCAACAGCCUCAAGCUGGGCUCAUUUUGCAAACUCGUGGAAUAACUCCUAGGAAAUCAAGACUUCCAGGAAGAUUUUUGGCACACACAAAAAAGAACUUGCUUUCAUGCCCCAACUUGUAAGAUUAUAUCACUGUUCUUAGUUCAAUCCUAGAUUAUAAACUGUUUGAUGUAGAGA